rnacentral:rRNA from 1 species
GUGGGGAAUCUUGCGCAAUGGGCGAAAGCCUGACGCAGCAACGCCGCGUGAGGGAAGAAGGCCUUCGGGUUGUAAACCUCUUUCAGUAGGGACGAAGCUUCCGGGGUUAAUAGCCUACGGGGUGACGGUACCUACAGAAGAAGCCCCGGCUAACUACGUGCCAGCAGCCGCGGUAAUACGUAGGGGGCAAGCGUUGUCCGGAAUCAUUGGGCGUAAAGCGCGUGUAGGCGGCUUGGUAAGUCUGGCGUGAAAUCUUGGGGCUCAACCCCAAGCCUGCGCUGGAUACUGCCUCGCUCGAGUCCGGGAGAGGAAAGCGGAAUUCCCAGUGUAGCGGUGAAAUGCGCAGAUAUUGGGAAGAACACCGAUGGCGAAGGCAGCUUUCUGGAACGGUACUGACGCUGAGACGCGAAAGCGUGGGGAGCAAACAGGAUUAGAAACCCGUGUAGUCC